UCACGUAAACUAAAGGCGUUGGGUCUUUC
rnacentral:sRNA from 1 species